rnacentral:rRNA from 1 species
AACGAACGCUGGCGGCAGGCCUAACACAUGCAAGUCGAGCGCGCCCUUCGGGGGGAGCGGCGGACGGGUGAGUAACGCGUGGGAACGUGCCCUUUUCUACGGAAUAGCCUCGGGAAACUGAGAGUAAUACCGUAUACGCCCUUUGGGGGAAAGAUUUAUCGGAAAAGGAUCGGCCCGCGUUGGAUUAGGUAGUUGGUGGGGUAAUGGCCUCCCAAGCCGACGAUCCAUAGCUGGUUUGAGAGGAUGAUCAGCCACACUGGGACUGAGACACGGCCCAGACUCCUACGGGAGGCAGCAGUGGGGAAUCUUAGACCAUGGGGGCAACCCUGAUCGAGCCAUGCCGCGUGAGUGAUGAAGGCCUUAGGGUUGUAAAGCUCUUUCAGCUGGGAAGAUAAUGACGGUACCAGCAGAAGAAGCCCCGGCUAGCUCCGUG